GGCCUGGUGGUGAAGUGGUAACACUUGGGACUGCAAAUCCUACAUGCGGGGGUUCGAUUCCCCCCCAGGCCUCAA
rnacentral:tRNA from 2 species